rnacentral:lncRNA from 13 species
CUAAGUUUGGGUGGAAAAAAUGACCAAGAACGAGUCACUUCAAUGAUGAAAAAGACUUUUGAAAAUCAGUUAGCCAUCAAUUAUAGCUGGCUUGGAUUUAAAAAGAAGAAGCCAUUCGAAAAACUUGAAAUGGCCAAAUGUAUUUUGAACAUUAUAACGACGACAAAAAUAAUAGCACAGCAAAAGACGUAAUCAUUUGGAUUGCAAAAUGGCUCGCUGGUGCUAAGCAAAGAUAUAACAGAGAAGUAUCCAAAUAGAUCCAAGAUGAUAUGGAUCAAGAAAACAUAUAAUACAUACAUAUACAAACAAUGCGUUAUACAUAUGUGUGUGUGUGGGUGUGUGUGUG